UUUUUUUUUUUUUUUUUUUUUUUUUAGGCCCACACCCGUGGCAUAUGGAGGUUCCCAGGCUAGGAGUCUAAUCAGAGCUGUAGCCACCAGCCUACGCCACAGUCACAGCAACGCAGGAUCUGAGCUGCCUUUGCGAUUUACACCACAGUUCACAGCAAUGCUGGAUCCUUAACCCACUGAGCAAGGUCUGAGAUUGAACCUGAAACCUCAUGGUUCCUAGUCGGAUUCGUUUCCACUGCGCCACGACGGGAACUCCUGCCCACGGGUUUAAAAAGCUGCCAUAUACAAAGCACUGUUCUAGGUCCUAAGAUGAGAAUCUAGCCAUGAAUGAGACUGGAUCCCUGCCCUUCAGCCCAGUCUACCAGCGCCAGAUUCCAGAAUGGAAAUCUACUGUUUCUCUACUUCCCUCUUGCUGUUCUUAGGACACAUAUCACAGAAGGGUGUCAACUAGCUCAUCACUCAUGGACAGCUUGUCUCUGAUGUAGAAACCAUUCAUUGCUUAGCUGGAACUUUGAGUUAUCUUCCUCCUAUAGAAACUGGGUGGUUCAGAAUCUGUUGGCAGAUGUUAUCGUAUUUGAAAGUAUCUGACAGUUGGAAUAUCUGAACUUGUAACAGAAGACAAAGGCAGCCCAGGGACUUCUGAUUAGAGUAUGUGAAUCAAAUGGUGAAGAAAUAGUCCACCUUGUCCGCUUACUGCUGUGUCCUGGUGGGUGAAGGAAAGGCUCCCCUCUUCGGCGAUGGCUUUUCUCUGGGGCUCUCAUUUCUGCUCCUAUUCCAGGCAUGGCUGCCCCUCCAUCUUCCCUCCACAAGGGCAGAGACCCAAGUUGGGUAGCUGGCCUUGUUCUUUCAUGGCCCUCAUGGGACUCAAGUAUAAGAACUUGGAUCAAAUCCUAUCUCUACUUGUAUAAUUAACUUUAUGCCAUGCAGAUUCUGUGAUCUGGUGUGGGCCAUGGAAGCUGUUAUUAUUUUUUAUUUAAUUGCUCCUGUUGGGAAUUUUUAAAAUGUAGUUUCUUUUGUCAUUAAACAAGUAUUAAUAUAUUUACUCUAUAAUAGAGUCAGUUCUAUUUUCCUAAUGCUUUACAUAUCCCAGGCUUGGUGGCCCUCACUGCCCUUAGGUCUACCAACUUUGCUUUGGGGACUAUUCCUGUAGCAUUUUACAUGUAAGUCAAUAAUGGCUCUUAUCACACCCAGGAGAAAGGGUCACUCAUCUUCAAAUCACUUGGUUCAGUUCAGGGAGUGGCAGAUAUGGCAGAGGUUUAAAAUAUGCUGUGGAAAUGAAUAAAUCCCUCUUUCCCUGCCGAGGAAAUCUGGUUUCCACUAUUCCAUUUUUCAGGUUAGGUAGAUACUUACAGGUUUUCCUGUAGGUCAGUCAGUGGCAGAGUGAAAAAUAGAUCUGUAGUAGACAUUGUCUGUGAUCUGUUUGGACCCUCUUGGAUGUCUUGAUGCCUCCACAGGCAUUUAUGCAUUUUUUUACUUUUUGAUUUUUAGAUCAUCACCUGUGGCAUAUGGAAGUUUCCAGGCUAGUUCCCAGGCUAGGGGGUUGAAUCGGAGCUACAGCUGCUGGGCUAUGCCACAGCCAGAGCAACGAAGGAUCUGAGCCACAUCUGCGACCUACACCACAGCUCAUGGCAACACCAGAUCCUUAAUGCAUUGAGCGAGGCCAGGGAUUGAACCCACAUCCUCAUGGAUACUAGUCGGAUUCAUUUCCAAUGAGCCACAAUGGGAACUCCAACAUAUUUUUUUCUAAUGUGCCUGUGGCUCUCUGCAGAGGAUUGUCCUUGAGUCCCUUUGCCUGUCCUAGCAAAGACCCAAAAGUGCCUGGAGUUUAAUCCCCACAAACAGCCCUGAGCUAAUGACUAAGGCUGACGUCUGAACCACCACUCUCUUGGCAAGAGUUGAGACACGGAGGUGAAAUUUACAUUCUGAGGCUCUCUGGCAGCAUCAGGUUGAGAUUAAGACUUGGCCUGAAAUCACAUUCUCCCUCGUCUUUUCUUCCACUCUCUUACCAGUUUCUCCUAGGAAUACUUCCUUAAUAAAAAUAUGUGCACAUAAAUCUGUGGCUUAGUGUCUGCUUCUGGGAAAUCCAACUUCAGCAAAGAUGUAAGGGUUCCUAAUAUUUGUAAUCCCCAUCACAGAUCAAUGGAGGCACCAUCAACUCAUUUCUUUGGGGGGGGUACUACUUGCUGUAUAAGCCAAUUUUAUCUUUCCUUUCUCUCUCCUGGUUCUUACUCAGCUCCCUCACUUCAAAGCCUCCGGGUUCUUUUCUCUCUAAUUGAAAAUUUUCCAUGUGAUUUCUCUGAGUUUGGUCUAACCAUUCUUUCUGCCUAAGGUACUAAGAUUGUUCAGGAGAAGUUGAUAGUUCAUUUUAUGUUGCUGGAAAUGUACUUAUUCUAGUAAAAGACUUUAGGCUUGCCAAAGCUUGUGCCAUAUUGUGCCGGCGCUCUGUGUAUUUAGUAGCUGGCUAGGAACAGAAGGUCUGUUUAAUUUAAUAUUCUGGAAGGCUUUCCAGAUGGCUGGCCACAAGAACAAAUCUAUACAUACUGCCAGUUGUGUGGCUUGUCAGCUGAGCACUGGAAAUGCCAACGAGAAUGGCUGUCAAGUGUUAACUGUGUUUGUCAGGUAAGUCACUGAGCAGAAUCUGACCGGGAGCCAAAAAGGUGUCCCAGUGCGUCGGAUCAAUACCUUGGUGAACACUAAUCUCACAUCUCUGCUCCCCUCGCUGCUAAAAACCCUGUUGAGCAUUGAGGCCAAUGAAGGAUGCUGAACAAAAGAACAGUGGCAUUUGUGAAAUUGAUGUUGGGGCCGCUCAAAGAACAGACAUCCAAUUCCAAUAACAUUUGUCAAUCUAAGAGGCUUCCCCAGAAAGAAAAUAGCUGGGAUGAAAUGGGAUGGUUACAACAAUGGUGGAUGCACUUAGGCAUUCCAGAGUGAGCUGGACCCCAAGAUCUAUCCUAGAGGAGAAUAUAACCCCCACCUUGAUGUCCUGAAGCAAACUGAUUUUUUACAAAGCAAUUCUAGAUCAUCUAACCUGGUUGCAGAGAUGAUUCCUUUGAGGUAUUCAGAGCUGAGCAUGGCCCAGGUAUGGUUUUUCUUUUUCUCCUUUCUCUGAAAGAUGGAUUAGAUCGAACAUCUUAUGGAGUGGAGGCUUUGCAUACAUCUUUCAACUAGCCUCAAGAAUGCAAGGUAUUAAACACUAUUCUAUAUUUUUGCCUUUGGCUUGUGGCAAUGCUUUCCCUUUGAACUUAGCCAGCAGGUGAUUGUUUUGUCAAGAAUGGAGGACUUAGAGCUUUAACAAAGAGCAGGGAUAAAUCGGCUCACCUCGAAGAGAGAGAAGUCUGUCAGCAGGCUUUCUUCCCACCAGGGGCUGCUUUUAUAACAGAGAGUCAAGAAUGCACAGUGACAAACAUGGCAUUUCCAAAGGAAAUAUAUCACAGGAUAUUCUCUCAACAUUCCAGGAGUUGGCAGGAAAAUUGUAGAUGAGUCUCUAUGGGGACAAAUGCAAGACAGCAAGUUUAGGGGAAAUAAUCUAAGUUAUUCUUUCAGGUUUACAGUUUCUAGACCUGAUUCAUCUUCAGAAUCUCCCAGAGAGUGUGAUAAAGCUAUGGCUCUCUAGGACCCAUUCCAGAAAUUCAGAUUGAGUAUGUCCGAGCUUGGGCCCAGGAAUUUAUUUCUCAUAAGCUCCUUGGGGAUCUUCAUGAUGGGUCGAAUAUGAGAACCAUGUUCCAAAAAGAAGCCCAUGAAGUGCUGUAGACUAUUCCCUGUAGGAGGUGGGCUAACAUGUGAUGUGACAGCAAAAAGACCAGCUUGACACCACCUACAAAUAUGUCCAAAUCUGGAUGAUAUUUUACAGGUCUUUGCAUGUCAUGGGAGAUGCUGUAGACUUGGAAGUCAUCCAAGAAGGGCCAAUUUAAAAAAAGCAAUCCUUGGAGUCCCCAUCAUGGCUCAGUGGUUAAUGAAUCCGACUGGGAACCAUGAGGUUGUGGGUUCUAUCCCUGGCCUUGCUCACUGGGUUAAGGAUCCAGCAUUGCUGUGAGCUGUGGUGUAGUUCGCAGACGUGGCUCAGAUCUCGCGUUGCUGUGGCUGUGGUGUAGGUCAGCGGCUACAGCUCCAAUUAGACCCCUAGCCUGGGAACCUCCCUAUGUCACGGUAACAGCCCUAAAAAAGGCAAAAAGACAAAAAAAAAAAAAAAAAAAGCAAUCCUUUAGGAUCAUCAGAUAAUGGGGCAAGAAGAGCUUCAAAGUGAAAUGUAAAAAGUAAGUUGAUUCUUAUAGUGCAAGUAAUCGAUUCUAUAAACCAAGGCUGGCAGUAGGCCACUCUGUAUCUCAUUUUAAAUAAAUAAGAAUAGGCAGAUUAUUUUUUAGUUAAAAAGUAAUCAUUUUAAACUAUUAGUAAAUCAUAGAUAAUUACACGUUAAUGAAAAUGGCAUUGUAGUCAUACAGUUCCUAGAAAUUUGUAGUGUAUUCAUCAGUGCAUUCCUUCUCUAUUUCUUUUAUUUACUCCACUGAUUCAUACAACACAUAAGAUAGCUGUACUAUGUGUAAGACCAAGACUUAAAAAUCCUCCUUAAAGCUUGAGAAAUGUAGAAAAAUAAAUUAUGUGCCAUAUUUAGUCUCCUUUGAUGUCUGCAGUUAGGAAGGAAGUCAUAAAUAAUAUUCUCAUGCCAAUGGCCUGGGGAACUAAGAUGUAGACAUAGUCAUUAAUUUGCUCAAAAUCACAAAUUGAAGAAGUAUGGAUCAGAGCUCAGACCUGUCUGACUCCAAGAGACACUUUUGAAAUUGACCUUAUCAAAGUGCUGCGUGGCCCAGAGAUGAGGUCCAACAUGACGUACUUGUCAAGAGCCCAUGACCUCAGUAGCAUGGCUGUUUCUAUGCCCCAAAGGCCUGCUCUGCUCCUGCCUCUAAAAGGUUCCAGGUGCAGGCCUGAGCCCUGCUCUGCCCUGGAACAACAGCUGUGCUAGGGUGAGGUGAGGGCAGAUGCGAAUAUUUGGCCUUUCCUAAGUACAGCUCUUGGUAUCCAGACCAAGUCAAAUGAUAGACUCCUUCUCAGGAGAUAUCUGAUUGUAUAAAACUGUGCCCAGAUCAAACCAGUUUCCAAUAGUCAUGGAUUGUGGCUGAAUUCUUGAGGUCCUUUCAACUUCUCAAGGCUAAACUUGGGCUGGGUCAGGAAAGAACUGACUCAGCUUUCAGAUAGCUAUGGAGCCCUCUUACCUU
ensembl:lncRNA